UUUGUGCUUUCUGGAAAAAAAAUUUAGUUUGCUGAUUGAAAUUUUAACUCUGAUUGACAGAACAAUUUUAUAAUAUACAUCUUCAACUUUACUUCACAAUUUCUGUCUCCUGAUGUCUGCCCAGAGGUGAUUUUAGUUCUCUAAGCUCUUUCUAAAGGGCCCUUGGGAAGAUACCCUGAAAGACGAAGUGACUUCAUUUUGUAGGCAAUGAACAACACUCUGAUCACCGGCAGCUGGAAAGACAGAAUGUCUUAAGAGGGAAGAUGAAAACAUUUGAAAAAUUCUUGUGUACCUGCUGUGUGGAGACCACUGCCUCAAACCACAGUAUUCCUUUCACGUACAGAUCUGGCUGAAAAAUGAGAAUGUCUUCCCCACUGUGCUGCUGAAGACUGAUCUGCUGAGCAGACGAGUGUUGAGACUGGGGGGAAAGCGCAGCCGGGAAUAACUGAAGCACGCUGUCAUAGGGACAAGGGGCCUGUGAACUGAAUGACCCUGGACACAGGAGUGAAAUUCUCAUCCAUGGAGGAGCCAGGGAAACGUGUAAGCUGAGGAAACUGAGGCACAAAGAAGUCAAGUAAUUUGCCCAAGACACAUCACUAAGAAGCAAUUCUAACAUGGGUGAUAUGGUCCCAGAGUCCUGAAGAGUCCAUUUACCUCAUCUCUGUGGUACUGCCACCUCCAAGUAGAAUUAGAAGAAAAAAGUUUGAUGCUGGUUGGAGACAAGAUGGUGGAGUAGAAGAACUUGAGCUUGCCUCCUGUCAUGAAAGCACCAAAAUCACAACUAACUGCUGAACAACCAUUGACAAAAAAGACUGGAACCUAUGAAAAAAGAUAUUCUACAUCUGAAGACAAAGAAGCCACAACAAGAAGUUUUAUAGAAAACAUCAACACUUGGAAGAAGUUUUCUAAAAAUAAAUCUAAGAAGAGAAAAUUACUGGCAGUGGUUCUGACGGGGAGCUAAGAGAUGACUUUUCGAAGUGAACCGAGUUCCAGUUAAUUGUUCUGGCUGAGUGGUCUUCCCUGAAACCUGGAAUUCUCUAUGGAGACACUUGAGCUGACCUGGAAACCUGUAGGUGUAGAAUUAAAGAAGAAAUAGAAGUGCUGCUGAUUUAUGUCCCUUUAAAACUUAACUGACCAGAACUGAGCAGACACAGCCAAAUUCAAGGUCAUCCUUACAAAGGUGAUGCAAGUUUUUGCCCAUUGCCAUCGACAUAAACUGUUAUCAUCAGAUAAUGAUGUUUUUACUGGUUAGGAUAGGCUUACUUAGAAAUACUCCAGUUUCUUUUUUGAAUCAUUUUUUUAGGUCUUCUUUCCAUAAGUUCCUUUCCUGUACAGUUGAAUUUAAGGAAGUUUAAAGAAAUUACCAUUUCUGAUUUAUUGCAGGGGUUGGGGAGUAAAGACCUCGUUAAUGUGUCAUCAUCAUAUAAAGCAGCUUGGA